GAUUAUAAGGCGCACUGUCGGCUUUUGAGAAAAUUGGAGGUUUUUAGGUGCGCCUUAUAGCCCGGAAAAUACGAUACUUACGUAAACAUAUCAGUUAAAUUGACAAAAGGGUGCCAAAACAAUACCACUAUAGGGAUUCAUUAUUUUUGUACCUUUCGCAACUUUUGUGAAAAUUAAACUAAACCAAAAAAAAAAACUGCUUGGUGGAAACGGGCUUUGGCAACGCAGCAGCAGGCCUUGUAUUUGGUACCACAAUAACUUUACGGUAAAAUGGUUAAAUAACUCCAUUUGGGGAAAAUGAUGUAUCAACAACCUAUUUGCCGAUGUUUGCUGUAUAAUAUUUAAGCAUAUUUUCUUACAGAUCCACCUAUCUUUUUAUUGGUUGUCAAAGAGAAGAGAAUUUGCUGCUUGUAUUAGUAGUGAAUAGUAUUUCUUUUGUUGUGUACUGUGCAGCUAUUUGUCUCAGGCAGUGCAGAGGAUUUGUGUGUAUGUUUACCUGAACAUGAAUGAAAGUCAUUGAACGUGGACUGAAAAACCUUACUGUUUGAGGUUUUUAGAGUAAAUAAAACCGUUUUAUAAGAUUUUA